rnacentral:rRNA from 1 species
ACUCCUACGGGAGGCAGCAGUGGGGAAUUGUUCGCAAUGGGCGCAAGCCUGACGACGCAACGCCGCGUGGAGGAUGAAGUCCUUUGGGACGUAAACUCCUUUCGACCAAGACGAUGAUGACGGUACUGGUGGAAGAAGCCCCGGCUAACUCCGUGCCAGCAGCCGCGGUAAUACGGGGGGGGCAAGCGUUGUUCGGAAUUACUGGGCGUAAAGGGCUCGUAGGUGGCCAACUAAGUCAGACGUGAAAUCCCUCGGCUUAACCGGGGAACUGCGUCUGAUACUGGAUGGCUGGAGUUUGGGAGAGGGAUGCGGAAUUCCAGGUGUAGCGGUGAAAUGCGUAGAUAUCUGGAGGAACACCGGUGGCGAAGGCGGCAUCCUGGACCAACACUGACGCUGAGGAGCGAAAGCCAGGGGAGCAAACGGGAUUAGAUACCCCGGUAGUCCUGGCCCUAAACGAUGAAUGCUUGGUGUGGCGGGUAUCGAUCCCUGCCGUGCCGAAGCUAACGCAUUAAGCAUUCCGCCUGGGGAGUACGGUCGCAAGGCUGAAACUUAAAGGAAUUGACG